AAAACGGCCCUUUUUAGGGCCACCGCAUUUUGAAUGACCAACACUUU
rfam:Tropilaelaps mercedesae isolate Wuxi-XJTLT scaffold0000029564, whole genome shotgun sequence.